GGGACCAAUGAUGACAACUGAUGGCGUAUGAGUCAAGGAUGAUGAGUACCAUGUAUCUGAAACUCUGAGGUCCAA
rnacentral:snoRNA from 1 species